rnacentral:rRNA from 1 species
GGCGUCGCUGGCGGCGUGCUCCCUCAUGCAAGUCGAACGUGAUUUUUGUGGAAAUUCUUUCGGGAAUGGAAAUGAAAUGAAAGUGGCUAACGGGUGAGUAACGCGUGAGCAACCUACCUUACACAGGGGGAUAGCCGUUGGAAACGACGAUUAAUACCGCAUGAGACCACAGAAUCGCAUGAUAUAGGGGUCAAAGAUUUAUCGGUGUUAGAAGGGCUCGCGUCUGAUUAGCUAUUUGGAAGGAUAAAGGCCUACCUAUGGCGACGAUGAUUGAGCCGUCUCUGAGAUGAUGAACGGCCACAUUUGGUAACUGAGACACGUCUCAUAACUUCCUACGGGAGGUAGCAAGUGGGGGAGAUAUUGUUACAAUGUGGUGGAAAAUCCUGUAUUGUUUGCGGAUCGCCCUGCGUGUGUCGAAAGAAAUGUUUUUUUCCGAAAUUCUUUAAUGCUUCUUGUUCUCUUAAUGGAUUAAAGAUACUGUUUGUGUUAAGUGUAGUGGUGAUCUUAUCUCACCCAUGGUUUGACGUGAUGAACUGUACAUUUCUAAUUAAUAAGUGUGUCAAUGGAGUGUAUGUAUCUGUGUAUCGUGUUUGUCCCAGUGUCCCUAGCAGCUCGUGCCUGUG